rnacentral:rRNA from 1 species
UACGGAGGGUGCGAGCGUUGUCCGGAAUCACUGGGCGUAAAGGGCGCGUAGGCGGCCUGAUACGUCGGCGGUGAAAUCCUGCGGCUUAACCGCAGGGCUGCCUUCUAAACUGUCAGGCUGGAGCACAGUAGAGGCAGGUGGAAUUCCCGGUGUAGCGGUGGAAUGCGUAGAGAUCGGGAAGAACAUCAGUGGCGAAGGCGGCCUGCUGGGCUGUUGCUGACGCUGAGGAGCGACAGCGUGGGGAGCAAACAGG